rnacentral:rRNA from 1 species
GACGAACGCUGGCGGCGUGCUUAACACAUGCAAGUGGUGCGACGAACCAGGGCUUGCCCUGGGGCAAAGCCGCGAACGGGUGAGUAACACGUGAGUAACCUGCCCCGAUGACCGGGACAACCCGAGGAAACUCGGGCUAAUACCGGAUGUGGCGCACAGGCAUCAGCCUGUUCGCUAAAGGAAGCUUCGGCCUCCGCAUUGGGAGGGGCUCGCGGCCCAUUAGCUUGUUGGUGGGGUAACGGCCUACCAAGGCAACGAUGGGUAGCUGGUCUGAGAGGACGAUCAGCCACACUGGGACUGAGACACGGCCCAGACUCCUACGGGAGGCAGCAGUGGGGAAUCUUGCGCAAUGCGCGAAAGCGUGACGCAGCAACGCCGCGUGGGGGAAGACGGCCUUCGGGUUGUAAACCCCUUUCAGGAGGGACGAAGGUUCACCGGUGAAUAGCCGUGUGGAUUGACGGUACCUCCACAAGAAGCUCCGGCUAACUACGUGCCAGCAGCCGCGGUAAUACGUAGGGAGCAAGCGUUGUCCGGAAUCAUUGGGCGUAAAGCGCGCGUAGGUGGCUUCGUAAGUCCGUUGUGAAAGUCAAAGGCUCAACCUUUGAAAGCCGAUGGAUACUGCGGAGCUAGAGUACGGAAGAGGCGAGUGGAAUUCCUGGUGUAGCGGUGGAAUGCGCAGAUAUCAGGAGGAACACCAAUAGCGAAGGCAGCUCGCUGGGACGUUACUGACACUGAGGCGCGAAAGCGUGGGGAGCGAACAGGAUUAGAUACCCUGGUAGUCCACGCCGUAAACGAUGGGUACUAGGUGUGGGAGGUGUCGACUCCUCCCGUGCCGUCGCUAACGCACUAAGUACCCCGCCUGGGGAGUACGGCCGCAAGGCUA